GCUGGAGAAACCAAUGCCAACAAUGUGGGUGCAUGCCUCCUACUGGCAGCUGCAGCUCAUCUUGAAUGUCCACAGGUGUCUUCACAAGAUGCGGCUCCCUUUAACUACCAGGCACUUCUGGUUGAGAGUGAAUCGCUGGCCUCCAAUCCAGACAGCCCAGAUGUCCUUGAUGAGGAGCUGCCUGAGCGCACUGCACAUAUUGCUUCAAGUAGAUGUCUUCAGCAAGUUUGGUUUCUGAAAGCCUGCUUCA